rnacentral:rRNA from 1 species
UUGGUUAAGUUAGAAAGGGCGCACGGUGGAUGCCUUGGCACUAGGAGCCGAAGAAGGACGGGACUAACACCGAUAUGCUUUGGGGAGCUGUACGUAAGCGUUGAUCCAGAGAUUUCCGAAUGGGGGAACCCACUAUCUUUAGUCGGAUAGUAUCCUUACGUGAAUACAUAGCGUGAGGAAGGCAGACCCAGGGAACUGAAACAUCUAAGUACCUGGAGGAAGAGAAAGAAAAAUCGAUUUCCUGAGUAGCGGCGAGCGAAACGGAAAGAGCCCAAACCAAGAAGCUUGCUUCUUGGGGUUGUAGGACACUCUAUACGGAGUUACAAAAGAAAGUUAUAAAUGAAGCGGUCUGGAAAGGCCCGCCAAAGACGGUAACAGCCCGGUAGUUGAAAUGGCUUUCCCUCCAGAGUGGAUCCUGAGUACGGCGGAACACGUGAAAUUCCGUCGGAAUCCGGGAGGACCAUCUCCCAAGGCUAAAUACUCCCUAGUGACCGAUAGUGAACCAGUACCGUGAGGGAAAGGUGAAAAGCACCCCGGAAGGGGAGUGAAACAGUUCCUGAAACCGUGUGCCUACAAGUAGUUAGAGCCCGUUAAUGGGUGAUAGCGUGCCUUUUGUAGAAUGAACCGGCGAGUUACGAUUUGUUGCAAGGUUAAGCGGAAAAAGCGGAGCCGUAGCGAAAGCGAGUCUGAAUAGGGCGCAUAAGUAACAGGUCGUAGACCCGAAACCAGGUGAUCUACCCAUGUCCAGGAUGAAGGUAAGGUAAUACUUACUGGAGGUCCGAACCCACGCACGUUGAAAAGUGCGGGGAUGAGGUGUGGGUAGCGGAGAAAUUCCAAUCGAACUUGGAGAUAGCUGGUUCUCUCCGAAAUAGCUUUAGGGCUAGCCUCGAGGUAAAGAGUCAUGGAGGUAGAGCACUGUUUGGACUAGGGGCCCUUCUCGGGUUACCGAAUUCAGAUAAACUCCGAAUGCCAUGUACUUAUACUCGGGAGUCAGACUGCGAGUGAUAAGAUCCGUAGUCGAAAGGGAAACAGCCCAGACCACCAGUUAAGGUCCCCAAAUAUAUGUUAAGUGGAAAAGGAUGUGGGGUUGCUUAGACAACCAGGAUGUUGGCUUAGAAGCAGCCACCAUUGAAAGAGUGCGUAAUAGCUCACUGGUCGAGUGACCCCGCGCCGAAAAUGUACCGGGGCUAAACAUAUUACCGAAACUGUGGAUGAACCUCUUUAGAGGUUCGUGGUAGGAGAGCGUUCUAAGGGCGGUGAAGUCAGACCGGAAGGACUGGUGGAGCGCUUAGAAGUGAGAAUGCCGGUAUGAGUAGCGAAAGAAGGGUGAGAAUCCCUUCCACCGAAUAUCUAAGGUUUCCUGAGGAAGGCUCGUCCGCUCAGGGUUAGUCGGGACCUAAGCCGAGGCCGAUAGGCGUAGGCGAUGGACAACAGGUAGAGAUUCCUGUACCAGUGCUAAUU